rfam:Triticum urartu cultivar G1812 contig1218614, whole genome shotgun sequence.
GGAAUACUCCCUCUGUCCGGAAAUACUUGUCAUCAAAAUGAAUAAAAGGGAUGUAUCUAGAUGUAGUUCUAGAUACAUCCCUUUUAUUCAUUUUGAUGACAAGUAUUUCCGGACGGAGAGAGUACUUG